rnacentral:rRNA from 1 species
UGCAGUCGAGCGAACUGAUUAGAAGCUUGCUUCUAUGACGUUAGCGGCGGACGGGUGAGUAACACGUGGGCAACCUGCCUGUAAGACUGGGAUAACUUCGGGAAACCGAAGCUAAUACCGGAUAACAUCAUUCCUUGCAUAAGGAAUGAUUGAAAGAUGGUUUCGGCGUAUCACUUACAGAUGGGCCCGCGGUGCAUUAGCUAGUUGGUGAGGUAACGGCUCACCAAGGCAACGAUGCAUAGCCGACCUGAGAGGGUGAUCGGCCACACUGGGACUGAGACACGGCCCACACUCCUACGGGAGGCAGCAGUAGGGAAUCUUCCGCAAUGGACGAAAGUCUGACGAGAGCAACGCCGCGUGAGUGAUGAAGGCUUUCGGGUCGUAGAACUCUGUUGUUAGGGAAGAACAAGUAUGAGAGUAACUGCUCGUACCUUGACGGUACCUAACCAGAAAGCCACGGCUAACUACGUGCCAGCAGCCGCGGUAAUACGUAGGUGGCAAGCGUUAUCCGGAAUUAUUGCGCGUAAAGCGCGCGCAGGCGGUUUCUUAAGUCUGAUGUGAAAGCCCACGGCU